AUCGCGAAAUAAAGUAGAAACAAAAAAACGAUUCUGUUUCUUGCUCAAGCCGAAACAAAGCGUCCUUGUCAGGAUCUGUGAAGAGUUAAUUGCUGUCGCUGUGCAGAAGCGUUUUUGGUUUAGAUUCCGCCGUGUGCGCUUGGCGUUGAUACUUCGUCAUAUGAACUUUCUCACUGAUCCGUCAUCCUAGUUCCCACAGCUUGGUUGGAACGCAUUUGGAGGCAACACUCCUCGUUUGCACAAAAUUUUAAAAAGAUGGUGCGACCGUCGGACAUAAUUCAGCAACAGCGGUUGGCAGUAGAGGCAUUUCAUGGAAAAUAGUUUGGAAAAUUUGGCAUAGAAAAAAAAAGUUUUACAGUGUAUAUAACGUUUGCGUUAAAAAAUGGACAGAAAUUGCCGAUUUUUUAUGGGUUUACCUUUACCACCAUCAAUCAUAGUAACCCAUGAGUCAACAGAAAAAAGUUGAUAGUUCUAUCAGUCGAACUCCAACUCCGAAAACAGUGAAGCUACUCCGUUCAAAAGUGUGCGCGUUCUAAGAACAGUACCCCGUUGCGUCGAAAAAGGACAUCGCGCGGCAGUUGGUGGACACUGGAUACGCCCAUUCCGGCAUCUAAAACAACUUGGCACUACUGGACAACAAUCAGAGCAUUGAAAGAAAGUCCGGUUCGGGACGGCCGACGACCCUAAGUGACAAGAAGCUCCAAAGGGUGCUGAAGAGGAAGACCGAGGGAAAAGUGUCUUCAUCGCUGCGUGCGCUUGACCGGGAGGCUAAACAGUGGAAAAGUGCUUAGCAACCAUGGGCAUACAUGUCAGGAAGCAGCAGUCCCGUUUACUAGUCUCGAAGCUGCAGGCAAUGACGCAGCGGUAGCGCCUGAAUAAGAUGGCCAAAUUGAUUCUCCCGGCGAAUCACAACGUGGCGGUGGUGAUAGACGACUAGACCUGUCUCAUCCUGGAUGGCAACGACUGGCAGGGCACUUUGUAUUUAACUUCCCCCACGAAGGAAGUAAGCACCAAACUGAAGUUCCUUUCACACACCAAGUUCCCUAAAAAAGUGCUGCUGUGGCUGACGAUCAGCGAAAAGGGGAUGUUAAAACUGCUCUUUUUUCGCUCCGGACUCGCCGUGAACGGGGAACUUUAUAGUACGAAGUUCCUGCCGAAAGUUGCGUUGAAGACGUGGUGUUUUGGCGUCGGCUCACUAUUCGAAGCAACCGUUUGAGGAGAUGGAGCGGCUGAAUAUCGAUGUGGUACCCAAGUUGGCGAACUCGCCCAACGUUCCCAAGUUGCGUCCCAUCGAGGAUUUCUGGGCAAGCCUUGAGUGUAAGAUCUACUCCAAUAAUUUUGUCGCGGAAACUGAGGAGGAAUUGAUAAAUAAAACGAAG